GACGAACGCUGGCGGCGUGCCUAAUACAUGCCAGUUGAGCGCUGAAGGUUGGUACUUGUACCAACUGGAUGAGCAGCGAACGGGUGAGUAACGCGUGGGGAAUCUGCCUUUGAGCGGGGGACAACAUUUGGAAACGAAUGCUAAUACCGCAUAAAAACUUUAAACACAAGUUUUAAGUUUGAAAGAUGCAAUUGCAUCACUCAAAGAUGAUCCCGCGUUGUAUUAGCUAGUUGGUGAGGUAAAGGCUCACCAAGGCGAUGAUACAUAGCCGACCUGAGAGGGUGAGCGGCCACAUUGGGACUGAGACACGGCCCAAACUCCUACGGGAGGCAGCAGUAGGGAAUCUUCGGCAAUGGACGAAAGUCUGACCGAGCAACGCCGCGUGAGUGAAGAAGGGUUUCGGAUCGUAAAACUCUGUUGGUAGAGAAGAACGUUGGUGAGAGUGGAAAGCUCAUCAAGUGACGGUAACUACCCAGAAAGGGACGGCUAACUACGUG
rnacentral:rRNA from 1 species